ACUACGGCUUUUCUUAAAGCCACAGAUUACAUAUGCAACAAUAAA
rfam:Salmo salar isolate Sally breed double haploid chromosome ssa17, whole genome shotgun sequence.